CACACUCUGGGCAUUUGGUAGUUAAUUUCAGAGCCUGUCUAAAGGCCUCAAGUGCCCCACUGAUAUUCUUCAGAGCAAGAACGGAAGCUCCAGGAGACCAAGGAGCUUGCCUGCUUUACUGCUAAGACCAGCCCGGUACACAGUCGGAAGCGCAAUAAAAGGAUGUGGAUGAAAUAUGCUGCUGGAGCGGCAAGAUGAGUGUGAGCGGGAUGAAACGAUGAGGGAGGCUGGCAUGUCUGCUGCUCCACUUUUCACGCGAUCCUCUCUUUAGGGGUCAACUCUAACUACCAUAGAUCUGCAUCUACUUCAGGUGUAGAGAGAAGCCCAAGUUCACAGAACACCAGCCCAGUCUCUCUGCUCUUGACAGGAACUCACAUGGGCUCUGGGCUACAGCUGUAAAAACUAACGUGUAACAUACACAGAUCUUGCUAAGAAGCAUGUACAU